rnacentral:rRNA from 1 species
AGAGUUUGAUCCUGGCUCAGGAUGAACGCUAGCGGGAGGCUUAMYMCWUGCAAGUCGAGGGGCAGCAGGUCCGAACCUAGUUUGGAUGCUGGCGACCGGCGCACGGGUGAGUAACGCGUACACGACCUACCUUUAGGAGGGGGAUAGCCCUGGGAAACUGGGAUUAAUACCGCAUAAUAUCCUUCGGGAUUAAAGCUGAGGCGCCUAAAGAUGGGUGUGCGUAUGAUUAGCUAGUUGGUGAGGUAACGGCUCACCAAGGCGACGAUCAUUAGGGGGCGUGAGAGCGUGGCCCCCCACACGGGUACUGAGACACGGACCCGACUCCUACGGGAGGCAGCAGUAAGGAAUAUUGGUCAAUGGGCGCAAGCCUGAACCAGCUAUCCCGCGUGCAGGAUGACGGCCCUAUGGGUUGUAAACUGCUUUUGGUAGGGAAGAAACACAUUUAUUUAUAGAUGUUUGACGGUACCUACAGAAUAAGCACCGGCUAACUCCGUGCCAGCAGCCGCGGUAAUACGGAGGGUGCAAGCGUUAUCCGGAAUCACUGGGUUUAAAGGGUGCGUAGGCGGCUUUUUAAGUCAGAGGUGAAAGCCCACCGCUUAACGGUGGAAUUGCCUUUGAUACUGAAGAGCUUGAAUCAGGUUGAGGUGAGCGGAAUGUGGCGUGUAGCGGUGAAAUGCUUAGAUAUGCCAUAGAACACCAAUUGCGAAGGCAGCUCACUGGACCUGUAUU